UUAUGAAAUUUUAUAGGAACAGUUUAUACCAAGAUGCAUUUUCAAGUCUGAGAGAGUAGAAUGUUGUUAGUACCCCAAACGUGUACCUAAAUUGAUAGGUGCUGGUAGACACUAGAAUGAAUCAUGUAAAUCACUGGUUUUGUUCCUAAUUUAGAGCAUGUUGAGAAUGCAAAGCUAUUGGCUGCCCCAAAAUUCAGUUAACUGGUUAGUAAAAUGUACUUUAAAAUGCAUUAGAAAAUUAUUUAUUACUUACAGAAUUUACAAAAAUUGUUCAAAACACAGAUCCUCUAUGUUGAAUAUGAAACUGACAGUGCUGUGAUACCUAUGUCUGAAUUGACUGGCCAGUUUAAAUCUAAGCAUCUCAUUAAUUCAAGAUACUGUUUUAGGUUAAUGGACUUCUGGCCACUCUGUAUAUUUAAUGUGGUAUGAAUUUCAGCAUACCUGCCAAGAGUCAAGCUAGUUCUUACCACAACUCUAUCCUGCUCACACUGCAAAUUUGACAGAAGUUAGUGUACCGCAGUCACCAGAUCAUAUGAGCUCUCUUUCAAGUGCAAGAGGAAUGCUGGCUGUCACGAUGCAGAGUGCUUGUGCUGCUUAAUUCAUUUAACAGGACUGAGCAAAGGAGCUUUGAGUCAGUGUUUCUGUUAGGUAGAUACAGAAGAACCGACAAAGACAGUAUACAACGAACUAUUCAAGAAACACAUUUCUUAGAUAUAUGUAGCUGUUAACAGAUUAAGAAGAGCAGCAAACAUGUUCUAGAAGAAAGAAAAAACUUUAUAAUCCCAAAUAGUAGGUUACUUUAUUGGUCAUAUAUACCAAACACUUAACAGGUUAAGUGUUUGGUAUUGUCAAGUUAAACAGAAGGCUGGAAACCAUGUAAAUCAUGGGAUAAAUAAAUCCCUCUGUGGCCUUUAGUUCACAAACAAACUA